rnacentral:rRNA from 1 species
UGAACGCUGGCGGCAGGCCUAACACAUGCAAGUCGAACGGUAGCACAGAGAGCUUGCUCUUGGGUGACGAGUGGCGGACGGGUGAGUAAUGUCUGGGAAACUGCCCGAUGGAGGGGGAUAACUACUGGAAACGGUAGCUAAUACCGCAUAACGUCUUCGGACCAAAGUGGGGGACCUUCGGGCCUCACACCAUCGGAUGUGCCCAGAUGGGAUUAGCUAGUAGGUGGGGUAAUGGCUCACCUAGGCGACGAUCCCUAGCUGGUCUGAGAGGAUGACCAGCCACACUGGAACUGAGACACGGUCCAGACUCCUACGGGAGGCAGCAGUGGGGAAUAUUGCACAAUGGGCGCAAGCCUGAUGCAGCCAUGCCGCGUGUAUGAAGAAGGCCUUCGGGUUGUAAAGUACUUUCAGCGGGGAGGAAGGCGAUGGAGUUAAUAGCUUCAUCGAUUGACGUUACCCGCAGAAGAAGCACCGGCUAACUCCGUGCCAGCAGCCGCGGUAAUACGGAGGGUGCAAGCGUUAAUCGGAAUUACUGGGCGUAAAGCGCACGCAGGCGGUCUGUCAAGUCGGAUGUGAAAUCCCCGGGCUUAACCUGGGAACUGCAUUCGAAACUGGCAGGCUAGAGUCUUGUAGAGGGGGGUAGAAUUCCAGGUGUAGCGGUGAAAUGCGUAGAGAUCUGGAGGAAUACCGGUGGCGAAAGGCGGCCCCCUGGGACAAAGACUGACGCUCAGGUGCGAAAGCGUGGGGAGCAAACAGGAUUAGAUACCCCUGGUAGUCCACGCCGUAAACGAUGUCGACUUGGAGGUUGUGCCCUUGAGGCGUGGCUUCCGGAGCUAACGCGUUAAGUCGACCGCCUGGGGAGUACGGCCGCAAGGUUAAAACUCAAAUGAAUUGACGGGGGCCCGCACAAGCGGUGGAGCAUGUGGUUUAAUUCGAUGCAACGCGAAGAACCUUACCUACUCUUGACAUCCAGCGAAUUCGGUAGAGAUACCUUAGUGCCUUCGGGAACGCUGAGACAGGUGCUGCAUGGCUGUCGUCAGCUCGUGUUGUGAAAUGUUGGGUUAAGUCCCGCAACGAGCGCAACCCUUAUCCUUUGUUGCCAGCGGUCCGGCCGGGAACUCAAAGGAGACUGCCAGUGAUAAACUGGAGGAAGGUGGGGAUGACGUCAAGUCAUCAUGGCCCUUACGAGUAGGGCUACACACGUGCUACAAUGGCGCAUACAAAGAGAAGCGACCUCGCGAGAGCAAGCGGACCUCAUAAAGUGCGUCGUAGUCCGGAUUGGAGUCUGCAACUCGACUCCAUGAAGUCGGAAUCGCUAGUAAUCGUAGAUCAGAAUGCUACGGUGAAUACGUUCCCGGGCCUUGUACACACCGC